CGCCUGUUGGCAUAGCUUUCGUAUCAAUAAAGGUAACAGAUAUAGAUUUUUCGUCGAGAAGAAUACAUAAAUGAUAUAAUUAAUUUAUUUUCCAAAAAAUAUACGUGCAGACCAAUUCAUACGUCGACGUCUUCAAUCACACUCUGUAGGACCAGUUACACCCCAGGAAACCCGAUACCGUGUGAACAGCGUAAUAUCAUUGGAGCAGUGUUCGGUACUUCAGCAUGAACUUACAUAGGACCUACUCAGCCUCUUCCCCUACCUCACCAACGCCAUCCUUACAUUUGCAGAUUAAGCAUAACUGCAUAAUGUUUUCAGUAUAUAUAUAUAUUUAUAUUUAUUUUGCAUAUUUUGACCAUUUGCCAUUAUGUGAUUUGGAAUUUCUUUCAAAAUAUUUUAAAUAGUCUUAUUAGAUUUUAGUCAAUUGUUCAAAAUAUACACGGCAAAUUGCUAUUUUACUUCGAUUUAAGCUGACCACAUGUCUUUGAUAAAAUAUUAAUGCCUUAAUUCCAAAGAAAUAACGAACAACUUAUGAAAAAAAAAGAUAAUUUUGUAUGGGUGAUUUUUGCAUACACGGGUCGAACUUGUAGUUUUAAAGGACCUUACACAAUAGAGCAGAUGUUUUUUCAUUAUUGUUAUCACUCAAUUUUCUCGUAUUAUAUUAUUUUAUC